CGGAUGCGGCAAAGUCACUAGAACAGUUUGGUGAUUUUGCAUAGAGCCAAGUCAUUGAAAAAAAUGCAUUUAUCCGUAUUUUUAAACUUCCAUAUCUUUUGAUAUAUAUAUACUAUUUUAAACUGCUCAAAGUGCUAAAAAACUACUCAAGUUACAUAUAUAAUUGCUCAAGUAAAGUUUUUGUCAGCUCUACUUUCCUUAAUUGUUAAAUAAAUAAAGAUACUUUCAACGUAGGCAGUUGUGCGUUGCGCAUGCGCGCAAACAGUGAUCGAACUGAUGAUUGCUGAUGGCCGUACUGCAUACAGAAAGUGGCGCCACUAACGACAAAACAAACAACAUAACACGAAGGGAAAGUCAAAGUCAAUGUCGGUGUUCUGUCGGGUCUUUCCGAGUUUUGAACAAGUAUAAGAAUUUAAUAACCGACGAAGAAUUUCGAGAAAAUCUCGGACGAAUUUCGGACUAUCCGGUCAUUCUACUGUCCACACGACACCCUGACAGCAGUCGUAUCUUAUAAAAAAAUGAUUCGAAGGAGUCCAACAAGGGUCGAGUUGAGUUUAGACGAUUUGGUAGAAUAUGAAACUGUAAAAAAGGAGAAAGAAGCCAAAAAGGAGGCGGAGAAACAAGCAGGCUCAUUUGUUCCUCCAGCCUGGGGAGGAAAGCUUUCAACGACCGAGAUACAAGAGCGAAUUGGAUACGUACCACAGACUCCGCAAGCUACCCAUCCAAGACCCAACAUUACACUGUGAAAAUGCCCUUACUGAGUCCCUUGUUGAAGUAGAGAUACUCCGGUAUUUUGCCUCCCUUGCAGUUCUGCUUCAGCAGCUCGUAGUUCUCUGGCUCGUACUUCUGCAGAGUCUUUGAGGAAAUCGAACAGUUUUGAGGGAACAGUGCACACGCUCUCAUAAAUGCAUUGUACUCACGAGAUACCACACAUAAGGACUUGGAAAGGUGCGUGAAGGAAUUUGAUUCUCUGCAUCCAGGAUCUUUUCUCCAGUCUCUCCAUCAGAGGAGGAGCGCACAUGAUGAUCCUCGAUAUCACAACUUGACUAAUACCUUUCACAGCCGCUAGCUAAAACGGAGAAAAAAGGUAUUUUUCAUUCUACAAUACCGCGUCCUGAUUGAAUUCGACCGAAUUCAAAUAGAUCGCAAGCCACUUUACGAUGCAUGCAAAUCGUAUUGGAACUAUUGUCAAGCAUUAGAUAUCUGCGAUCGCUAGUCGACGUCUCACCUUUGACUUGGUCAGCUUUUUGCCCUCGUCGUCGGUGAGGUCGAUACCGCCGAGGAUUUCAUUCUGCCUCAUCAGCGGAAUGUUAACGCAGUUAGCGGCAGCCACUGCGGCGAACGGCACGUAUCUCUGGAAAAAAUGUUUGAUUCAAACUAUCCGUUUCCUUGGAGGAUAUUUUCUGAAAUAGAUUUAAUCGAGUGUACCACGCGCGUUGAGAUUCUCUCGAAUCGAAUUUUAAUCUAUACUACAUCAUAACGUUCCAAAAACUU